GCGGCAGUGGCGGCGGCUGCUGCUGCUGAGAGCGAGGACGGAGUGGCCACGCACAUCCUCUAGACCGGCGGACAGGAAUCAGACGCGGGGAGAGCGGCGAGACGUCCAGAUCAGAGGCGACAAAGAGGAGCGGAGACGACUUGUGAGAGACCUCGGAGACGAAGGACACGGCGAGCGUGGGGGGGGGGGGGCGUGAGGACGGCGAGCGGGACAGCGGAUCGAACGAAUCCAGCGAGAGGCGCGGUGGCAGCUUCGGGGCGGCCAAAGGAGCUGCCGAACACGGCGAGGCGCUGCAGGGUGAGAGCCGAG